rnacentral:rRNA from 1 species
UACGUAGGGGGCAAGCGUUGUCCGGAAUCAUUGGGCGUAAAGCGCGUGUAGGCGGCCCGGUAAGUCCGCUGUGAAAGUCCAGGGCUCAACCCUGGGAUGCCGGUGGAUACUGUCGGGCUAGAGUCCGGGAGGGGCGAGUGGAAUUCCUGGUGUAGCGGUGAAAUGCGCAGAUAUCAGGAGGAACACCGGUGGCGAAGGCGGGUCUCUGGGCCGAUACUGACGCUGAGGAGCGAAAGCGUGGGGAGCGAACAGG